UACGUAGGUGGCGAGCGUUGUCCGGAUUUACUGGGCGUAAAGGGCUUGUAGGCGGUCCGUUCAGUCCGAUGUGAAAUCUCCCGGCUCAACUGGGAGAGGUCAUUGGAUACUGGCGGACUAGAGGGGGGUAGAGGAAAGCAGAAUUCCUGGUGUAGCGGUGAAAUGCGUAGAUAUCAGGAGGAAUACCAGUGGCGAAGGCGGCUUUCUGGGCCUACCCUGACGCUGAGGAGCGAAAGCGUGGGGAGCAAACCGG
rnacentral:rRNA from 1 species